GAGACCUUCCCUCGUGAUUUGUUCGGCCGGCUUGCGGCGAGGUAAAAGAAACGCGCUAAAGAGGCUUUGACGGCGCGCAU
rnacentral:ncRNA from 2 species